rnacentral:rRNA from 1 species
CCUACGGGGGGCUGCAGUGGGGAAUUUUGCGCAAUGGGGGAAACCCUGACGCAGCAACGCCGCGUGAGUGAUGAAGGCCUUCGGGUCGUAAAGCUCUGUCAGAGGGGAAGAAGUGUGGGGUGGCUAAUAUCCAUUUCACUUGACGGUACCUUCAAAGGAAGCACCGGCUAACUCCGUGCCAGCAGCCGCGGUAAUACGGAGGGUGCGAGCGUUGUUCGGAAUUAUUGGGCGUAAAGCGCGUGUAGGCGGUUUUUUAAGUCUGAUGUGAAAGCCCUGGGCUCAACCCGGGAAGUGCAUUGGAAACUGGGAGACUUGAAUACGGGAGAGGGCAGUGGAAUUCCUGGUGUAGGAGUGAAAUCCGUAGAUAUCAGGAGGAACACCGGUGGCGAAGGCGGCUGCCUGGACCGAUAUUGACGCUGAGACGCGAAAGCGUGGGGAGCAAACAGGAUUAGAUACCCCAGUAGUC